rnacentral:rRNA from 1 species
UACGGGGGGAGCAAGCGUUGUUCGGAUUUACUGGGCGUAAAGGGCGCGUAGGCGGCCAGCACAAGUCAGUUGUGAAAUCUCCGGGCUUAACUCGGAAAGGUCAACUGAUACUGUGCGGCUAGAGUGCAGAAGGGGCAACUGGAAUUCUCGGUGUAGCGGUGAAAUGCGUAGAUAUCGAGAGGAACACCUGCGGCGAAGGCGGGUUGCUGGGCUGACACUGACGCUGAGGAGCGAAAGCGUGGGGAGCAAACAGG